rnacentral:rRNA from 1 species
AAUCAACGCUGGCGGCGUGCCUCAGGCAUGCAAGUCGAACGAUUAAACUUUCCUUCGGGGAAGAUAUAAAGUGGCGCACGGGUGAGUAACACGUAAGUAAUCUACCUUCGAGUGGGGAAUAACAUCGGGAAACCGAUGCUAAUACCGCAUAACGCAGCGGCAUCUUAUGGUGACAGUUGUUAAAGGAGCAAUUCGCUUGAAGAGGAGCUUGCGGCAGAUUAGCUAGUUGGUAAGGUAAUGGCUUACCAAGGCUUCGAUCUGUAUCCGGUCUAAGAGGACGGUCGGACACACUGACACCGAAUAACGGGUCAGACUCCUACGGGAGGCAGCAGUCGGGAAUUUUGGGCAAUGGGCGAAAGCCUGACCCAGCAACGCCGCGUGAAGGAUGAAGUAUUUCGGUAUGUAAACUUCGAAAGAAUGGGAAGAACUCAAUGACGGUACCAUUUUAUAAGCUCCGGCUAACUACGUGCCAGCAGCCGCGGUAAUACGUAGGGAGCAAGCGUUGUUCGGAUUUAC